rnacentral:rRNA from 1 species
CCUACGGGAGGCAGCAGUGGGGAAUAUUGGACAAUGGGCGAAAGCCUGAUCCAGCAAUGCCGCGUGAGUGAUGAAGGCCUUCGGGUUGUAAAGCUCUUUUGUCAGGGAAGAAACGGUGAGAGCUAAUAUCUUUUGCUAAUGACGGUACCUGAAGAAUAAGCACCGGCUAACUACGUGCCAGCAGCCGCGGUAU